rnacentral:lncRNA from 1 species
UGUGACGACGUUGUUAAUAUUGUUCAUUAAACGCAUGGAGUCUUAAAUAGUAAUAAGUGGAAGCAGACGAUUCCAAUGUGUGAAUCUCUACGAUACUAUGCAGUUGUAUUAUUUUGUGUCUCUCUUGUCACAAUAAACAUUUGCUUCAAAUCAUGUUUAGUUACUAGAGUGUAUGUGACUGCUUUAAUUUAGAUCGAGUUUCACCACUAAAGGGUGCUUUGCUUCAGAGUGAGCUUCCAUGCAGUCUCUAGGACAAUACUU